rnacentral:lncRNA from 1 species
CCAGGUGGUAAAUAAAAUAACCAAUCUUUAGCAUAAUCAUCAAGUGAAAAAGGAAAAGCUCUCAAUUUAACAUAUUCUUCAGUUAUGCCUUGCGGCCUCAUGGAUGAACAGACAAUGUUAAAUUCUUUUAAGUGCUUGUGUGGAUUUUCAUUCUCUAAACCUCUAAAUUUAGGGAGUAGAUGAAUCAAACCUGUUUUCAGUUCAAAGGGAACUGUUAGAG